UUCUCCGCACCUUCCGCUGCAUGGAAGGUAACCAGCACAACAGACAUACCUAGACAUAUCAUUGUAUAGAGCUCUUUUCCGCAGCAUAUAGGACACACAUGGCCCACACCAAAGCGCCAGACAGCAAAAGGGGGUGUCGGCCUUGAUGGUGCCGGUGAGAUCCGUGUGCCAGACGUUGCGGUAGCUCUGCCGGAGCUGCAUCUUCUCCAUGUUCGCCUGCGACGUCAUUGCGGGCCCGAUUCACCGCCCGCCGGAGCCCUAAUCGGAGAAUUGAGUCGAGGGGGGAGAGGGGAAAUGGGGUGGCGGCGGCGAUGACGGGUCAACUGG
rnacentral:misc_RNA from 1 species